rnacentral:tRNA from 1 species
GCGUUGACCAGCCACGAUGGCGCGUGGAGUCCCUAGCCUUCCAAGCUGGCCAUGCCGGUUCGAUCCCGGUCACCCGCUCCA